rnacentral:tRNA from 1 species
ACCUGGCUGACUCAGUCAGUAGAGUAUGUGACUGUUGAUCUCAGGGUCAUGAGCUUAAGUCCCAUGUUAGGUG